GAUGAACGCUGGCGGCGUGCCUUAUACAUGCAAGUCGAGUGGGUUUAGACCCACGGCAAACGGGUGAGUAACACGUAGGUACUUUCCUUGUCACAGGAAUAACCCUCCGAAAGGAGGGCUAAUACCUGAUGUGAUCGCAAGAUUAAAGGGUAUCCGCAAGGAUUACCGGACAAGAAGAGGCCUGCGGCCUAUCAGCUAGUUGGCGGGGUAAAUGCCCACCAAGGCUAUGACGGGUAGCUGGUCUUAUGAGGAUGAUCAGUCACAUGGGCACUGAGACACGGGACCAACUCCUACGGGAGGCAGCAGUAGGGAAUUUUGCGCAAUGGGCGAAAGCCUGACGCAGCGACGCCGCGUGCGGGAUGAAGGCCUUCGGGUCGUAAACCGCUUUUAUAAGGGACGAACUUUGACGGUACCUUAUGAAUAAGAGGUUGCUAACUCUGUG
rnacentral:rRNA from 1 species